UGGGGAAUCUUGCGCAAUGGGCGAAAGCCUGACGCAGCCAUGCCGCGUGAGUGAUGAAGGCCUUAGGGUUGUAAAACUCUUUCACCGGGGGCGAUAAUGACGGUACCCGGAGAAGAGGCCCCGGCUAACUUCGUGCCAGCAGCCGCGGUAAUACGAAGGGGGCUAGCGUUGCUCGGAAUUACUGGGCGUAAAGGGCGCGUAGGCGGAUCAGCAAGUUGGGGGUGAAAGCCCGGGGCUCAACCUCGGAAUUGCCUUCAAAACUGCUGAUCUAGAGUACGGGAGAGGUGUGUGGAACUCCGAGUGUAGAGGUGAAAUUCGUAGAUAUUCGGAAGAACACCAGUGGCGAAGGCGACACACUGGCCCGUUACUGACGCUGAGGCGCGAAAGCGUGGGGAGCAAAACAGGAUUAGAUACCCUGGUAGUCCACGCUGUAAAACGAUGAUUGCUAGUUGUCGGCAGGCAUGCCUGUCGGUGACGCAGCUAACGCAUUAAGCAAUCCGCCUGGGGAGUACGGUCGCAAGAUUAAAAACUCAAAGGAAUUGACGGGGUCAUAGCUGUUU
rnacentral:rRNA from 1 species